UUUUAGAUUUUAUUUUAAUUCUCCUGCCAUCAAGAAAAAACUAUUAUCUGCUUUUGUGUGAAAAGCACGAUUUCUGAAUGGCCAAUUGACUGUUUCACGCAGAAAGAUAAUAAUUACAAUUGUCCAAAUGAAUUAACAUCAGGAUACGAUUCAAGUACUGUGUUGGUAAAUAAAUUCAGUUACAGACAACUCGCGUGCCCAUGAUAACGAACGCGAGGAAUCGGGGAAAGGAAAACCAUUCGUUUAGCCGGUCGUUCCUCAUCGUUCUUUCGUACAGUGUUGUUGUCAAUCGUCGAAACGAAUUUUCGACAGAGGACGCAAAGAGGACCGAUGUCGGGCCCCCUGCUGGGGUAUCGGUUACGCUUAAACCGCGUUUAGGGCUCUCGAAUGCCGGCUUUUUGAGACCGUGACAGCAACCCGAUUGUUGUAGUGAUGGAUUGAAGAAGCAACGAAUCAUCGAGUUCUUUUUGUUUUUAACCGUUAGUGGAAUGUGGGAAAUGAUCGUUUAUGGAUAAUACAAGAUGCUGAAAGAAGGGAAAGAUAUAGAAUGUGUAUCUAUAGACUGUUGUAGAGGAAGAAAUAUAAAAAUUUUAAUACUAUUACGUCUUUUGGAUCAUUUUUACUCUUAAUUUUCUAUUGUUAAAAGAAUUUGGGAUUAAAGAAAUUAUCACAGAAUGAUAAAAAUUUAAUUUCAAAUUUUCUAUUUUUA